GCAGGGUGGCCACCCAGUAAUCAGCACAAGUUAGAAUGUGGGCAACUCAGCAGUCGUUGCGCAGGCACUUUGGUGACGCAUUCGGAUGUCUGCCCUAUCAACUUUCGAAGGUACUUUCUGCGCUUCCAUGGUGACCACAGGUAACAGGGAAUCAGGAUUCGAUUCUGGAGAGGAAGCCCGAGAAACGGCUACCACAUCCAAGGAAGGCAGCAGGCGCGCAAAUUACCCACUCCCGACGUGGGGAGGUAGUGAC